GGGCCUAUAGUUUAGUGGCAAAAUAUCUCAAUGGCAUUGAGAAGUUGGGAGUUCGAUUCUCCCUAGGUCCA
rnacentral:tRNA from 2 species